rnacentral:rRNA from 1 species
GAAAGCCUGACGCAGCAAAGCCGCGUGAGGGAUGAAGGCCUUCGGGUCGUAAACUAAAGUCAGAGGGGAAGAGGGGAAUUGUGGGAUAAGGGAAUGCAGGCCUGACGGUACCCUCAGAGGAAGCACCGCCUAACUCCGUGCCAGCAGCAGCGGUAAUACGGAGGGUGCGAGCAUUGUUGUUAAUUAUCAUUGGUAAAAAAGGGGCAGCAGGCGGCACAACUAUUAUGUGAAAAAACAGGGCUCAACAUCGGAAGGGCAUCGGAAGAAACGUAGCUGGAGUACGGCAGAGGGAAGCGGAAUUAUUACAGUAGGGGGGAAAAAAUUAGAUAUUAUGAAGAACAACAGUGAUGAAGAAGGCUUCCAUGAGCGCUAGUGACGAUGAGGCGAGAAAGAGGGGGGAGCAACCAACAUUAGAUACCACCGUAGUACUCC